rnacentral:rRNA from 1 species
GGUUACCUUGUUACGACUUCACCCCAGUCAUGAAACACAAAGUGGUAAUCGUCCUCCCGAAAGUUAGACUAACUACUUCUUUUGCAUCCCACUCCCAUGGUGUGACCGGCGGUGUGUACAAAGCCCGGGAACGUAUUCACCGCAGUAUUCUGACCUGCGAUUACUAACGAUUCCGACUUCAUGGAGUCCAGUUGCAGACUCCAAUCCGGACUACCACAUUCUUUAAGGGGUCCGCUCCACAUCACUGUCUCGCUUCCCUCUGU